AGUGAACGCUGGCGGUAGGCCUAACACAUGCAAGUCGAACGGCAGCACAGUAAGAGCUUGCUCUUACGGGUGGCGAGUGGCGGACAGGUGAGGAAUACAUCGGAAUCUACUUUUUCGUGGGGGAUAACGUAGGGAAACUUACGCUAAUACCGCAUACGACCUACGGGUGAAAGCAGGGGAUCUUCGGACCUUGCGCGAUUGAAUGAGCCGAUGUCGGAUUAGCUAGUUGGCGGGGUAAAGGCCCACCAAGGCGACGAUCCGUAGCUGGUCUGAGAGGAUGAUCAGCCACACUGGAACUGAGACACGGUCCAGACUCCUACGGGAGGCAGCAGUGGGGAAUAUUGGACAAAGGGCGCAAGCCUGAUCCAGCCAUACCGCGUGGGUGAAGAAGGCCUUCGGGUUGUAAAGCCCUUUUGUUGGGAAAGAAAAGCGGCAGGUUAAUACCCCGCUGUUCUGUCGGUACCCAAAGAAUAAGCACCGGCUAACUUCGUG
rnacentral:rRNA from 1 species